GUAGUCCACGCCCUAAACGAUGGAUACUAGUUGUCGGGAUUCCUAAUUGUCUCGGUAACGGAGCUAACGCAUUAAGUAUCCCGCCUGGGAAGUACGGUCGCAAGAUUAAAACUCAAAGGAAUUGACGGGGGCCCGCACAAGCGGUGGAGCAUGUGGUUUAAUUCGAUGCUACGCGAAGAACCUUACCCAGGCUUGACAUCCCGCGCUAACCUAUGAAAGUAGGCCUUCCCUUCGGGGACGCGGUGACAGGUGCUGCAUGGCUGUCGUCAGCUCGUGUUGUGAGAUGUUGGGUUAAGUCCCGCAACGAGCGCAACCCUCGUCGCUAGUUACCAUCAUUCAGUUGGGCACUCUAGCGAGACCGCUGGGCUAUAAGCCAGAGGAAGGUGGGGAUGACGUCAAGUCCUCAUGGCCUUUAUGUCUGGGGCUACACACGUGCUACAAUGGGAGGCACAAUGCGUUGCAAGCUCGCGGGAGCAAGCUAAUCGCAAAAAACCUCUCCCAGUUCGGAUUGGAGUCUGCAAUUCGACUCCAUGAAGCUGGAAUCGCUAGUAAUCGUGGAUCAGCACGCCACGGUGAAUA
rnacentral:rRNA from 1 species